GACGAACGCUGGCGGCGUGCUUAACACAUGCAAGUCGAACGGAAAGGCCCUGCUUGCAGGGUACUCGAGUGGCGAACGGGUGAGUAACACGUGGGUGAUCUGCCCUGCACUUCGGGAUAAGCCUGGGAAACUGGGUCUAAUACCGGAUAGGAGACAUUUUUAGUGUGAUGGUUGGAAAGUUUUUUCGGUGUAGGAUGAGCUCGCGGCCUAUCAGCUUGUCGGUGGGGUAAUGGCCUACCAAGGCGGCGACGUGUAGCCGGCCUGAGAGGGUGGACGGCCACAUUGGGACUGAGAUACGGCCCAGACUCCGACGGGAGGCAGCAGUGGGGAAUAUUGAACAAGGGGCGCAAGCCUGAUGCAGCGACGCCGCGUGGGGGAUGACGGCCUUCGGGUUGUAAACUCCUUUCGCUAGGGACGAAGCUUUUUGUGACGGUACCUAGAUAAGAAGCACCGGCUAACUACGUG
rnacentral:rRNA from 1 species